rnacentral:rRNA from 1 species
UACGGAGGGUGCAAGCGUUGUCCGGAUUUAUUGGGUUUAAAGGGUGCGUAGGCGGUGCUUUAAGUCUGGGGUGAAAGCCCGUUGCUCAACAACGGAACUGCCCUGGAAACUGGAGCACUUGAGUACAGACGAGGGUGGCGGAAUGGAUGGGUGUAGCGGUGAAAUGCAUAGAGUACCAAUCCAGAACCCCGAUUGCGAAGCGAC